rnacentral:rRNA from 1 species
GACGGAGGAUGCAAGUGUUAUCCGGAAUCACUGGGCGUAAAGCGUCUGUAGGUGGUUUAAAAAGUCUAUUGUUAAAAAUUGAAGCUUAACUUCAAAGAUACAAUGGAAACUUUUAAACUUGAGUAUGGUAGGGGUAGAGGGAAUUUCCAGUGGAGCGGUGAAAUGCGUAGAUAUUGGAAAGACCACCAAUGGCGAAAGCACUCUGCUGGGCCGACACUGACACUGAGAGACGAAAGCUAGGGGAGCGAAUGGG